GUGAGUCAUCGAAUCUUUGAACGCACAUUGCGCCCGCUAGUAUUCUGGCGGGCAUGCCUGUCCGAGCGUCAUUUCAACCCUCAGAGCCCACCGCUUGCGGUGCGGCGCUGGUGUUGGGGAUCGGCCCGCCUCCGCGCGGCGCCGUCCCCCAAAUACAGUGGCGGUCUCGCUGCAGCCUCCCCUGCGUAGUAGCAACACUCGCAUGCGGAGCGCGGCGCGGCCACGCCGUAAAACCCCCGACUUUCUGAACGUUGACCUCGGAUCAGGUAGGAAUACCCGCUGAACUUAAGCAUAUCAAUAAGCGGAGGA
rnacentral:misc_RNA from 1 species